GGGCAGGCGGGUGCGCCGAGGGCCGGUGCCCCGCAGCAGGUGGGCGGGGUGCGGUUGACGGCGGCGGCUGGGCCGGGGGCUGCCGGCUGCGCUCGGGCCGUGCGCGGCGGCGGUGCGGGCGCGCCAUGGACUUCAACAUGAAGAAGCUGGCGUCGGACGCGGGCAUCUUCUUCACCCGGGCCGUGCAGUUCACGGAGGAGAAAUUUGGCCAGGCUGAGAAGACUGAGCUUGAUGCCCACUUUGAAAACCUUCUGGCCCGGGCAGACAGCACCAAGAACUGGACAGAGAAGAUCUUGAGGCAGACAGAGGUGCUGCUGCAGCCCAACCCCAGUGCCCGAGUGGAGGAGUUCCUGUAUGAGAAGCUGGACAGGAAGGUCCCCUCAAGGGUCACCAACGGGGAGCUGCUGGCUCAGUACAUGGCAGACGCGGCCAGUGAGCUGGGGCCGACCACCCCCUAUGGGAAGACACUGAUCAAGGUGGCAGAAGCUGAAAAGCAACUGGGAGCCGCAGAGAGGGAUUUUAUCCACACGGCCUCCAUCAGCUUCCUCACACCCUUGCGCAACUUCCUGGAGGGGGACUGGAAGACCAUCUCGAAGGAGAGGCGGCUCCUCCAAAACCGGCGUCUGGACUUGGAUGCCUGCAAAGCGAGGCUGAAGAAGGCCAAGGCUGCAGAAGCCAAAGCCACGACGGUGCCUGACUUUCAGGAGACUAGACCUCGUAAUUACAUUCUCUCGGCCAGCGCCUCCGCGCUUUGGAAUGAUGAAGUGGACAAGGCUGAGCAGGAGCUCCGCGUGGCCCAGACAGAGUUUGACCGGCAAGCAGAAGUGACCCGUCUCUUGCUGGAGGGAAUCAGUAGCACUCACGUGAACCACCUGCGCUGCCUCCACGAGUUCGUCAAGUCUCAGACAACCUACUACGCACAGUGCUACCGCCACAUGCUGGACUUGCAGAAGCAGCUGGGCAGGUGCGGGGCCAGCACUGCUGAGCCCACUGGGGCCC
rnacentral:sRNA from 1 species